UUAAGCGACUAAGCGUACACGGUGGAUGCCCUGGCAGUCAGAGGCGAUGAAGGACGUGCUAAUCUGCGAUAAGCGCCGGUAAGGUGAUAUGAACCGUUAUAACCGGCGAUUUCCGAAUGGGGAAACCCAGUGUGAUUCGUCACACUAUCAUUAACUGAAUCCAUAGGUUAAUGAGGCGAACCGGGGGAACUGAAACAUCUAAGUACCCCGAGGAAAAGAAAUCAACCGAGAUUCCCCCAGUAGCGGCGAGCGAACGGGGAGGAGCCCAGAGCCUGAAUCAGCAUGUGUGUUAGUGGAAGCGUCUGGAAAGGCGCGCGAUACAGGGUGACAGCCCCGUACACAAAAGCGCAUGUGCUGUGAGCUCGAUGAGUAGGGCGGGACACGUGGUAUCCUGUCUGAAUAUGGGGGGACCAUCCUCCAAGGCUAAAUACUCCUGACUGACCGAUAGUGAACCAGUACCGUGAGGGAAAGGCGAAAAGAACCCCGGCGAGGGGAGUGAAAAAGAACCUGAAACCGUGUACGUACAAGCAGUGGGAGCACAGGUUUACCUGUGUGACUGCGUACCUUUUGUAUAAUGGGUCAGCGACUUAUAUUCUGUAGCAAGGUUAACCGUAU
rnacentral:rRNA from 1 species